UCUUAAGAAAAUAAAAAGGCAAAUGAGAUGUGUGUUUAAAUCCUAAAUAUUAGGCCUCCUUUUAUAGGGUGAAGUACCAACCAAAAUUGGUAUUUCACCGAUAUGGGAUUUCUGCCAUUCAACAGUUCUAACAUAUUCACUUUGAAUUCUUGUAUACACCUAAAAAAUAUUUACACCAUCAGUGCAGUCUAACUUAUUGAUUAUAGCAUGUUAGUUACCGUUUUUAUCAGGUCGUUAAUUGCUACGCUAUACCCAAUACAAGUUGUCAUGAAUCAGGUUUCUAAUUGGUUCAUCAAUGCAAGAGUAAGACUCUGGAAACCUAUGGUGGAGGAGAUACACAUGCUUGAAACCAAGGAAGCUCAUAAUAAAUCUUCUCAAAGGGAGGGACAAAACAGCAACAACAACUCCAUUGAACAUUUUCCUACGAGUAAUUCACAUGCAGCAUGUGAAACUCCAUCUACUUCUGUACCAAGAUUACAAGACACUCCAUCAAAACGAACCCGAAAUGAUUUUCCAAUGGGAAACGCGGAUUCAAUAAGUUUAUCUUAUGGCAAUUUAUCAACUGGAACCGGUGGCGUGUCCUUAACCUUGGGCCUUCAUCAGAAUACUGGGAUUGGUUUAUCGGAUCCCUUUCCGAUUAAUGCAGCUCGACGUUUUGGUAUUGAUGCAAAUAGUGACAGGUUUAUGGUUGGUGGAUUUGAAGAACAAAACGGACAGUUUGGAAGAAAUAUUGUUGGUGGGCAGUUUUUGCAUGAUUUUGCCGGUUGAAGAAGAUUUUGGACUUCAUCAUUUCAUAAGCCUUCAGUUUAUCAAUUAAACACAGAGGCUUCAGUUUGAUAUACUCUUCAGAAUCGCAUGACCAUCUAGGGUUGGUCCUUUGGAGGGCAGUAAAAAGUAAAUAGUAGCUUAAAGCGUUACAACGGCCAGAAUUUUGAAGAUAAACUUGGAAAUAUUCUGUUCUGAUCGGUUUAUGAAAUUCAUUUGGUAAGGUAAAUAUUAGAUGAUGUAAUUUACAAUGAAAUAAUCAAAAUGUGAUCAAAUUUUUGUGUUGUAAAGCAGUGCUUUUUGAUGCUUUUCGAAUUCGGUGUAUCAAUCUCAGUUUUAACUAGCAGUAUGAUCUUCAUGAUUUAUGGGUUC